rnacentral:rRNA from 1 species
AGAGUUUGAUCCUGGCUCAGAAUCAACGCUGGCGGCGCGCCUAACACAUGCAAGUCGAACGAGAAAGCCGGAGCAAUCUGGUGAGUACAGUGGCGUACGGGUGAGUAACACGUGGAUGAUCUACCUCUUAGUGAGGAAUAACCAUGGGAAACCGUGGCUAAUACCGCAUGAGCUCGAGAGAGGAAAGUCGUAAGACGCUGAGAGAGGAGUCCGCGGCCGAUUAGCUAGUUGGCGGGGUAAAAGCCCACCAAGGCAAAGAUCGGUAGCCGGCCUGAGAGGGCACACGGCCACACUGGCACUGAAACACGGGCCAGACUCCUACGGGAGGCAGCAGUGGGGAAUCUUGCACAAUGGGGGAAACCCUGAUGCAGCGACGCCGCGUGAGCGAUGAAGCCCUUCGGGGUGUAAAGCUCUUUCGUCAGGGAAGAUCAUGACGGUACCUGGAGAAGCAGCUGCGGCUAACUACGUGCCAGCAGCCGCGGUAAUACGUAGGCAGCAAGCGUUGUUCGGAGUUACUGGGCGUAAAGGGUGUGUAGGCGGUUGUUUAAGUUUGGUGUGAAAUCUCCCGGCUUAACUGGGAGGGUGCGCCGAAUACUGAAUGACUUGGAGUGCGGGAGAGGAGAGUGGAAUUCCUGGUGUAGCGGUGAAAUGCGUAGAUAUCAGGAGGAACACCGGCGGUGUAGACGGCUCUCUGGACCGUAACUGACGCUGAAACACGAAAGCGUGGGUAGCAAACAGGAUUAGAUACCCUGGUAGUCCACGCCCUAAACGAUGCAUAUUUGGUGUGGGCAGUUCAUUCUGUCCGUGCCGGAGCUAACGCGUUAAAUAUGCCGCCUGGGGAGUACAGUCGCAAGGCUGAAACUCAAAGGAAUUGACGGGGGCCCGCACAAGCGGUGGAGCAUGUGGUUCAAUUCGACGCAACGCGAAGAACCUUACCUGGGCUCGAACGGCUCACGAAAAUCUUUGGGAA